UUUGUUUUAAAUUGGAAUUAAUUCAUUAAAAAAGGCAGCUCUACUGGGCUGUGAGUUAGUGCCAAGCUCUGUAAGCCUACACCACCCAACCCACCCAACCGGCCCCACCACCUACGGAGCAAUCUUGAGGUUCUCACGGAGUAAGGCGAGUGCAAGAGGAUACGGACUAUCCUUGUGCAGUGCGGCCCGUUGCCGGUGGCUGGGAAGGCCCAUCUUUCCGACUCUCCCUCUCCCCGGAUGCCAAAUGUGGCCUCUGAUGUGAGAGAGCCAGGCUUUCGGCACGUCUGCGGCGCCGGCCUCCCUCAGGGGCCUGGGGAAGACCCACCCAUAUGGCAGGACCUUCCAGGGAGACGCGAAACCAAGAGCCUGACCUAAUGAUGCCCGCAGCGUCUAGCAACCAGGAGCCGCCUUCCCCGCCCUCCCCCAGAAGGCCUUGCUGGUUGGUGACGCCGGGCCAGCAAGGCAGGGUCCUGCAGGAUGAAAGCUCGGAGAAGCCAGAGCAGGAAUAAUAAUGAUAAUCAUCAGCUGCGGCGGCUUAACCAUCCAGGAAUGCAAGGCCCCACGCCCUGUGCGCCUCACACCCCAGGACACUUGAAGGGCUCCUCUCCCUUCGUUUUAUUGCAGCGAUCCCACACUCUGCCAUUCCCAGCCCAACCCAUUUGGGUUCCCAAGGAGUGCAGUCCAGCCACUGGCUCAUCCACCAGCCAGGUUCCAUGGGAAGAUUCAGCUCAACAAGACCCAAGCCAGCAGCAGGGUAGAACGCCCAGCUACUCGGAAACUCCGGCUCCAGGUUUCCCAGAGAAGCAAACUGCUCGGGUCUGGCCUCGAGCACUUUCCCACAGACCCACCUAUGUCUGGUCACUGUGAGGUCCAGGAGCUUUGCCUGCAUCCACACGGCUCUGAAUUCAAGGCCUGGCCAGCCCACAGACUAACUCACCAGAGGACCAUGGUCAAGUUCUGCUUUGUUUCCGACUUCUUUGGAUUCACUGCCUCACCUGCCCCCCAAAUUUCCUAAGACUCCCCGCUGCUCGCUGAAGAUACACUCGGAUCUCACAGGCCAGCAUGUAGUUGUUUCAAACCUGGUUUUAGUCCAACCCCACUCUUCUUCUUCACCCUCUAGAUGCCAGCCAGAAGUAACUACUCACUGUUGGCCAUACACAUCCUGGGCUUUUCCAUUUGGCGCUCCAAUCCUUCCUGGGGGAUGUCAUUUCCUUCAUCUCCACCUGGAGACCCUCCUAGCCUUCAAAGCUCAAGCCCGCGUUCAUUGCCUCCAUGAGUACACCCGCAUCCCACCUUGGUGCGCCGGUUCCUCUCCAUGGGAAGCUCUCAGGCCCCUGUGCCCACCUCCUGGGGUGCUCGCAUGCAUGUCUCUGCUCUCCCCCAUGGAUCAUCACCACGGUGAGAUCUCGUUCUCCCGAUGUGCCUUGUGCCUGGGGCACCUGCUCAAUAAAUAAGUCUUGGACAUAUUGUAGAUAAUAAUCCCGCCUGCCAAUAACUUCCCCGCACAAAUGUGCUUUGAAAAAGGAAAAAUAAUUAUUUUAAUAUAAAAGUUGAUGCACA